UGUGACGCAACGGGCGACGCGGCCCGGCAUUUUUCUCUAAAUCGGCGGGUACUGAGAAAAUACGUCUCCCUUAGAGUCCCACGGAAAGGUUCUCAGUGCGCUCUCUAUCAAGGUAUGUAUUUACAAAUAAGUGAUCCCUUUAGAUAUUUGCCUGUGUACCUUUUCCUGUAAUUCAGAGCUUGCGUUCUGUGGGCUUUAUGAUAAACCUGUAAAACAUGUAAAAAUGGUUUUGCAAGUCUUAAAGCUUGAAGGCAGCAAUAAGUGGAUUUAGAGCCUGUUCUUGACCAGACAAAGAGAAAAAGUGUGACUUUGAUGCUGAACUUGUCAUUUUUCAUUUGACUUGUCUUGAAUGAUUUAGGAAUAGAGAGAACUAGAAAAA